UUUUUUUUUUUAUAAAAUAAUCCUCUAAAAUUUUAUAAUUUGCGAAAUAAUUCUAUCAAAUUUAUAUUUAGCAAACUAAUCCUCUUUUCAUCGUAUAGGAGCCACGUGGGAUUUUUUUGAAAAGCAGUGAACCGUUCAUCGCAUUCUACCUUCUUUUAAAGAUGGUGAAUCAUUUUUUACAUUCUCCAAUUUUUUUUAAAAAUGGUGAAUUGUUCAUCCCUUUCUUCUAUUUAUUUUAAAAACGAUGAAUCGUUCGCCGCAUGGGCAAGGACGAAGCUAGAAAUUAAGAUUCGGGGGGGCCAAGGUUUAGAUUUGAUAGAAAAAAAAUUUGACCUCGGAUAGUAAGAAAAAAAAUUUGUCAAAUUCACUGAUCAGUUAUUACUAGCAAUAAUAAUGAUAAUAUGCUCAAAGAGGAACAAAACUAUAUGAGUUGAAGGGAAAGGACCAAGAAAUUCGGGAAAAAAAAUUGAGACACAAAUUUUAUUAAAAAAAUUAAUUUGGCCCCCUAAAAUUAAAUUUUAUAAUAUUUUAAUUUUUAUUAUACAGGAUUUUUAUAUAAUUUUAAAAAAUUGGGGAGGGUGGGCCAUGGCCACUAUGGACUCCUCAAUGAUUCCGCCCCUGCGCAUGGGAUAUAAAAAGAAACAAUAAAUAAGCGAAAGGCGGUGAAUCAUUCACCGUCUUUGUGAAAAAUAAAGAAGUGAUUCAUCGCCUUUAGUAAGAUAGUAAACGAUUUACCGCCUUUAUAACAAAUAUCCGCCCCCGAAGAAAGGUUAAUUUUAUAAAAAAGAGACUUUUGAGAGGGUUAUUUU
rnacentral:lncRNA from 1 species